rnacentral:lncRNA from 1 species
CACUUGUUGAAGAGGUUGAGGCCGAUGCGGUAGUGCCGCUUGUGGAUGACAUCGUUGCUGAAGGCUGGCGAGUCCCAGCUGUUGCGCGUCUCCUUGUGGUAGGUCUGCUUGCUGAGGGUCUGCUCCCGCAGGCUGUCCCUUGAGGAGGACUCGGAGCUGCAGUUGAUGGUGUCAUUGGAGUUGGAUGUGCUGUUGAUGCUGUCAUUGUCCCCAUCCGAGUAGUCCGAUUCCGACUUGCUCUGCCGGUUGGCCGAGCCAUUGAUGGCCAGGUGGCUCUCGAGGGGCCUGGAGGGCCGGGACCGCAGCUCGGGCUCAUCCCGGGGGAGGCCCUUCGGGGCACCGCCAUGGGGCCCAUGCUUGGGGCUGCCCUGCUGCCCACCACCCAGGCCGCGCUCGUAGGCACUCUGCCUCUUGUGCGAGCUGCGGUCGGAGCGGUCACUGAGGUCGGCUGAGCUGUCGCUGGGGGGCUCGAUGGUGAGCAGCGGGAGGUGAUCGGCCCGCAGCCGUGGCUCGGGCCGCUCCAGUGACGGUGUGCUGCGGCAGCUGGUGUCGGUGUCGGCCUUGUCGUCCUUGUGGGCCAGGGCCCAGUAGUCCUGAGCAACGCCCCCAGCCCGCAGCCGCAGGUCCGACUCGGUGCUGCACGGCCGGUCCCCAGCCUGCGGGAGAGGCAGCGGUGGUGAGAGCUCAUCCUCGUCAAUGUACAGGGUGACGUCGCUGUAGGAGGCCGUCAUCUCGUCCAGCUGGCGGUGGUCCAUGCUGUGCAGGGCCGGUGUGGGCUCGGGGUCUCGGGCCCGUGCUGCAUCCGGGGCUGGCACCUCCUCCGUGUGCAGGCUGCGGCAGUUGAGGGCAUCGUCGAUGGACUCGGCCAGCGACUUCACCUGCCGGGAGAAGGCGUCCUCCAGCUCCGUGAUGGCGUCCGCAAAGUCGCUGGACGCAGCUGGGGACUUGAGGGUGGCCGGCUCGCCCACGUCCCCACAUUCGGGAGGGCACCAGGCUGCCCAGCUGGGAGCCAUCGUUGGUCACUGAGACCUGCUUGCCCUCGAAGUAGGAGCUAUGCACCUUCUCAGGCCCCUCAAGGAGAACUGCAUCCUCAUGUUGGACAGCACAAUCCGGCGUGGACAUGCGGUUCUCCGACAUGGAGCUGCGCAGGCGCUCGAAGUUCUUGUUCAUCUGGUACUGGCGGAAGGCCGUCUGGAUGGUGCGGGCCGCAUGGCGGGUCACGAGGCGCCCCCAUACUUGCGUUCUAGCAUCUCCA